rfam:Schistosoma margrebowiei strain Zambia genome assembly, scaffold: SMRZ_scaffold0003462
AUUCAGUUGACGAGUCCCAAAUAGGAAGAAACUUGCGUCCUGGAU